rnacentral:lncRNA from 1 species
ACUGUGACCUGCCAGCCCACCCACUUUGCCGUGAAUUCCAGCAACAAGCACAGGAACAGAACAGCAGCUCCCGCUGACGGGGCAUGCGUACCCCACUCCGGCUCCAGGUCCUGUGCACAGCACCAUUUACGCAUGUGGUAUGGAAUCCUUUCCGUGAUUCCUGCUUCACAAAUGACUCUGCGGCUCAGGGAGGGGGCCAGUCACGCUACACAACCAGAAAGUGGUAGAGCCGGGUUUGAACCAUGUCUGCAUGGCUCUGGUGCCAGGCUCAUCUCUUGACCCCUGGAUGGGCAGUGGAGCUGCCUCAGAUCCCCUAACUGCAGCCCUGAGACAACUUAGCUGGCCCAGGGAGAGCCUCCUUCAGUCAUCAGGUCUGGCGCAUGCCUGCUACAGUGCCCUCUAUGGGGCAUGCCUGGCAUAGCAUCCCCAUGCAGGGCUAUGCUUCUGCCAGAGCCCUAGACACUGCCCCAGCUGGGAAAUAUUUUGGUUUAAUUAUAGCUCCUAGUCCAGAGAAAGAAUUAUUGUUCUGGAUAUCAAUAAAAACAAAAGAGCUGCUAUCGUGCAACUCUCAAACACAACCCAGCUGUUCCUGGAAGCUCUUGAGGCUCCUGCCCCAAGGUCCACCCCCAACACUAUCUCAACCUCAUCAUGGUAUCUAAUCUGUGCAGCCAAGAAGCCCCUCAAGCAGCAGCUCUGAGGCCUGGGGCUACGUAGGGAAGAAGCGGGAGGUGAGCAACAAGGAGACAGUGUGUCCAUCCAGGAAGCAGCUGUAAGGUGAUGAUAAGGAAAGAUAUUUUAUUGAUUGAUUGAUUGAGAUAGAGUCUCGCUCUGUUGCCCAGGCUGGAGUGCAGUACCAUGAUCUUGGCUUAUUGCAACCUCCGCCUCCCAGGUUCAAGCGAUUCUCCUGCUUCAGCUUCCUGAUUAGCUGGGAUUACAGGCACUCGCCACCAUGCCCAGCUAAUUUUUGUAUUUCUUUAGUAGAGAUGGGGUCUCACCAUGUUGGCCAGGCUGGUCUUGAGCUCCUGACCUCAAGUGAUCUGCCCACCUUGGUCUCCCAAAGUGCUAGGAUUACAGGCAUGAGCCAACGCACCCGGCCUUAUUACUAAUAUUUUUUUUUUUAGAUAAAGUCUUCCUCUGUUGCCCAGGCUGGAGUACGGUGGCAUGAUCACAGCUCACCACAGCGUCAAUCUUCCAGGCUCAAGCCAUCCUCCUGCCUCAGCCUCCAAAGUAGCUGGGACUUCAGGCAUGCACCACCACGCCUGGCUAAUUUUUAAAUUUUUUUGUAGAGAUGGGGUUUUGCUGUGUUGCCUGGGCUGGUCUCAAACUCCUAGGCUCAAGUGAUCCUCCCACCUCCACCUCCCAAAGUGCUGGGAUUACAGGUGUGAGCCACUGUGCCAGGCCAAAAAGAUAUUUUUAAAGUGAAGUUGAAAUGAUGUGGCUGCAGGGGAAAGUUCCACCAUUUUUUAACAAGCUGUUUCAUUCCUAAGUUCGUCUUUAAAAAUUUUUUUUUUUGGUAGAGAUGGAGUUUUACUAUGUCACCCAGGCUGGUCUCAAACUCUUGGCCUCAAACAAUCUUUCUGCCUUGGCCUUCCAAAGUGCUUUGAUUACAGGCAUGAGCCACCGCACCCAUUUGGCCCUAAUGCAAUAUUUUGACCAACCAAAAAUCAGUUCAUCUUGACUGUGAGGGCCCAAAAGGGCAGGGAAGACGAGGUGGGAAAAGAGAAAGCAGGGGUUAUGGGACAAGAGCUACUACUUGGCUGUUA